CGGUAAAGAGGGGAGCACUGUACGCGAAACACCACUAACAAAACAUUGUUUUAUCGGAAGCUGUUAUGUUUAUAACAGCAAGCUCGCAAUUUACACAUUGAAGGUACAAAAAGGAUUGCUGGCAGGCUACAUGAGCCAUUUUUGAUUACAGGUGUUGUGCUUGUUGUAUCAUAACCUAUGCCAAAGUGUAUGGCUCCGAGGAGUUGCUCACAUUUCUUCAAUUUGGUUGCUUAUAGUUUAUUCGGAGCUAUGAUUGUGUUGUGGUAGUGCUUGGGUGCAUUGCAAGGAAAUUCCAUGAGAUCGUCAUACAGAAUGUUGGCUCUUUAUCCAAGAUACCUAAGGAAAGCCCUGCUGCUGAAGAACUGUCCAAUAUCACCGGCAAAUACAUUCACAUGAACAAUGAUGGAUUAACUUUACAGUGACGAUACCACUUGGUAAGAAAAGAUAGCAGUACAAUUCUUUGCUGCAUCAUUUAUUUCAAUUAUUGAUGUCUCUUUGUUAUCUUAUUAACCUCUAUUGGUUCCAUUUGUGGAAAAAGUAUUUGAUGUCAAAGACAUGGGAACUUGAUAUUUUUAAUGCCAUUUUGGUGGGACUUGGAAAUGGAAUCUUAACAUUACCAGAGAUUCCUCUAAUCAAGUAAUUGUGGGUAAUUUGGUUGUCAUAAAGGGUUUUAGCUAAUGUUAUUCAAAGCUUGUUUUUUUGU